rnacentral:lncRNA from 10 species
CUCGUCUUAAUCAAGGAAUCCUGACUUAACCUUAUUCUUUCUCACAGACACAGUUCAAUGCUGCAAUGGAGCCUGUGGUGAGCACUGAUUCAAUAGGUGGUUUGCCUCCUUAGACGCAGAAUCACAGGACUAGAAGGAGUGAAAACAACACUUUAUCUCUACAUUGGCUUCAGGGAGGACAGUGCCCAAACCACCUCAAGUACAGAAUAAUUUACUCUCAUUUAGAAGAUCUCCAGACAGAGCUCGAAUGGCUCCCUUGGCAACAAAUUUUAGUUUUAACAAUCUUUGUAGCUUUAUCCUUCCCUCCAGAUAAUGCCAUAACUGUGUACUCUAGAUUAAACGUUUUCUCCUUUUCUGCCCACAGUGCUUUUGAAGCCAAACAUGAUUUCACAUAUAGUGUUGGGUCAUCAUUAAGUCACCUUUCAGAAGUCCCUCUAAAUUAAGGAGUCCUCAUCCUUUCCUUAAAUUUUUCAUGUGUCCUGACCUAUGAGAAUCUGUUAUACGCAUGUUUAAUUUCUAUGGAAUACCUCAUCAUACAACUUGAAAUUCUGAUUGACUAGUGGUUUUUUUCCUGCAUAAGUGCUACUUCAUCUAUGCCUCAGUAACAAACAACAACAAUCACUUAAUGGAAAUGGUGGCAGGCAGAAUUCUAAGAUAGCUGCCAGAUUCCUGCCGCCCCUGGUGUGCAUUCCUUGAUAAUCACUCUCCUUUGAGUGCAGGCAGACCUGUGUGUAUGAUACCACUGCUAUGAUUACAUUGCUCAUCAGGCGACUGUGAGCUAGCCAAAAUGGAGAAUAUUCUGGUGGGUCUGACCUAGCCAGGUGAGCCCGUUUCUGAGUCAUAGAGAUUGAAAGUGUGAGAGGGAUUUGAUGUGAGGGGGAAUUCUCUGUUGCUGGUUUUGAGUAUAAAAGGGGCCAUAUAAUAAAGACUUGAGAGUGGUCACUAGUUGCUGAGAUCCAUCCCUAAUUGAAGCUAGCAAGAAACACUUCUACCAACAACUUGAAGGAAUUUGGAAAAGAAUCCUUCCCUAGUCAAGUCUCUAGAGGGGAAUGCAGCUAACUGACACCUUGAUUUCAGCCUCGUGAGACCCUGAACAGAGAUAUCAACCACUCAGUUGCCUGGACCUCUGACAGAAAUGAAAGAUAAUAAAUGUCUGUUGUUUUAAGCCACUAAGUUUAUGGAAAUUUGUUACACAGCAAUGGAAAACCAAUAUAGGCCCCUAUCCAUGAGUUACAUUGUAGUAAACACCUUUCCUACAUUAUAGAUAUCUCAUCUAACUCCUACAGCAACCCUUGAGGUAAUCACUGUGUCCAUUGUCAGAGCAAGAAAACUGAAGCUCGGCUUCAUAAACAGAAGCAGCAAGGAUUGAUUCCUUAAAUACUGUGAAUUCCACUCUCACUUUAUUUGAAUUUGUGACAGUGAAAUUCACAGUAUUCUUUAAACAUUUUACCCCCAAGCGAUGCUCUUUCCUCUGAAUUGCUUUGCCUGUCCUAAUAAUUUUAUUUAUACAGGCUGAUGCUGGUGACUUGGGAAUAGUAUUUUUAUCCAAACCAUUUGGCUUCUUAUAGGUAUGAGCCACUGAGGGAGCUAUUUUUUAUUUAAUUGUGCUUUGGAAAAAUCAAACGUAGCCUUGAGUUUUAAAAUUAUUAAGCUUACACUUUUUCACAAAAUAGAAAUGGAGUAAUAUAGCUCUGUCCUUCCGUUUUUUAAAGCCAAAAAAUGUAAGAAUGGAAUGUACUGGCUCACUGCUCCCACGGUGUCCUUACCAGCACAACUUACCCCAUCCCUCCCUAGCCCACUCUUGAGGAUACUUUCUUGCCACUGUCAGGCUUACUCCUGCCUCCUAGACUGAGGAAAGAAAAGCCUCCUGGUUUGGAGCUCAUAAUCAAGUCAGCCUUGCUGCAGGGCUCAUUUUAAGCCAGUAUCCUGGACCAGAUAAGGAAGCUGAAGCUUUGAGAAUUUAAUUUGCUCAAGGGGAGGCCAGGACAAGAAAUAAUGAAGAGUCCGAUGUGGCAGGAAUGUAGGAAACAAGUCAAUGAUGGAAGAUAAAUAUGGAGACGUGAUGAAGGCAAAAUUCUGAAGGGUCUUAGAGCCCAUUAUAAGACGUUUGGUUUUUAUGACUAUGCCGUGCAAGACUUGGUAAACUGGUCCCUACCGCAGAGGAUUUUAUACAGAGCACGCUAGUGGCUCACAGAAUAUUUCACUGAUUGCCUUGCCCGCUUCUCAAAGGCCCACUUCUCUGUGGAAUGAUGCAGUUGCUAAGAAGAGCUGUUAAUGUCAUGACCUCAAUGAAUAAAAAAGACUUCCUUUUCUCCAUGCCCACUCAAGUAAAAGGCUUCUCUCUGAACUCCUGCUAAUUUUUCAUCAGCAAAGGUGCACAGCCUUUUGGAAGUGAAAUGAUUACUAGUGAAGAAAAAGAAAGAACCUAACACUUAUUUUACAAGCCUCCCAGUGACCACUCUUCAGACAAAACUUCUUAUAAUAGCUUCCUUCCCUGAAUCUUUUGCGAAACAUCAAAUCACAAAGAGAUCUUAUUGUGAGUAUUACCUAAAAUUUUUUCCUGUCUUAUGUAGCAAAGAGGGAAGUCACUGAGUCAGCUUAGAUAUGUGUAUGUGUUCUAAAAAAAAUGAAUGUAUCCAUGUGACUUUUUUUUCUUUUUUUUUUUUUUUUGAGAUGGAGUUUUGCUCUGUCACCCAGGCUGGAGUGCAGUGGCGUGAUCUCUGCUCACUGCAACCUCCACCUCCUGGGUUCAAGUGAUUCUCCUGCCUCAGCUUCCCGAGUAGCCUGCCACCACACGUGGUUAAUUUUGUAUUUUUAGUAGAAAUGGGUUUUCACCAUGUUAGCCAGGCUCGUCUCAAAUUUCUAACCUUCAGUGAUCUGCCUACCUUGGCCUCCCAAAGAGCUGGGAUUACAGGAAUGAGCCACCGCACCUGGCCCCAUGUGACUUUAAUAUUUUACUGCAUAUCUUCCUCGGCAAAUAACUAAAUCCUGUCAUGUGGGAGGGAGUUUGGAAAUAGUGCUUAGGAACCACCCACUAUCUCAUUUGUGAAGUCCGUUGCCACUUGCGGGGGGCGCCAGGCAAUGACAUCAACAGACUUAUCUGGUUAUGUCUUUGAGCCUUGGAUCCUUGUAAUUGUUUUGCUUGAUAAAGCUAUCUUUUGUUAUAAAAGACUUUGCCAAAAAAAAGUCUUUGGCUUAAGGCAUUUAAAUAAUGCAAGCUUCAAAGUUAGUGAACAGAUUAUGAAAAAUGUCUGAAUAGUAAUUUGGAAGGCAAUUUGCACAUAUAUUUCUAUCUGGAAGAAUAAUAGUUUGUAAACGAAAUACAUCUUAGGCCAUAAUUAUAAGUGUCAGAACAUGAAAGGAUUGGUGAAUUGGAGAAACAGAAAUUAAAAAUAAAACUUAAAAAAAUAAGUCAGAAUAUCAUAAUGGUACAAAAUAAAUGAGACAAUAGAAACAUAGACAUUUCCCUAAUUCAUAAUGUAGUUAUUUGUUCUGGAGAUUUGUUCAUUAUUGUAAAAACUAGCUACAUUUAAUCGUUUUAAUUGUUGUUAUGAAAAUACUUUGCUUCAUUUAUUUUAAAUAUAUCCUACUAAAAAAAGAGUAUAUAUAAAAACACAUGUACAAUUUAGAACAUAACGUUAAAACAAACACUUACGUAUUUUCCAACCAGCAAAAGGAAAAGAACCUUAAUGGUGAUCUUGUGUAUUUGUGUCCAGAUGCGUUUUUCUCCCUUUACCUGGGGUAACAAUCAUUGCAUAUUUUGUGUUUAUCAAUUCUUUCCUUUAGAAAUGCUUAUCCAUUUGUGUAUUUAUGCCUAAACAAUAGAUGGUUUCAUUUCGCUUGUUUUGAGCUUUAUUAUAUUUGUUUGUAGUCACCAUGGAUGUAACCUUUUUCCACGCAAAAUUAGCUUUCUAAGAAUCAUCCAUGUUGGUGGAUAUAGCUCUGUGAUAUUCCAUCAUGUGAUACUGCAAGUUAUAACUCUAGUUAUAUAUCUAUUUUCCAAUCAAUGAAUAUUUACAUUGAUCCAAAUUUUCAUUAUUAUGCACAGUCUGGCAAGGAAGACUCAUAUAUGACUCCUGGUACAUGGGUACAAGGAUUCUAUAGGCUAUAUACCUAAUCGUGGAAUUGUUGAGUCUCAGAGUAUUCAAAUGUUCAACUUGACACAUUAUCAUGAAACUGUUCUCCAGAGUGGCUUUCCAAUUUACUCUUCCACCAAAAAUGUGUUCCUAUUGAUCUACAUCUUCUCUAGAACAUCUUAUUUUAGGUAAUUUAAUUUUUUCAUUGUUAUGAAAUGGUAUCUCACUGUCUUAUGCAUUUCUCUGGUUAAUAAUGAGAUUGGUCAUAAAUUCAUAUGUUCAUUGUGAAAUGUCUAUUCUUUUGUUGCCCAUUUCAUCUAUUGGGAUGGCUAUCUUCUAACCGAUUUUACAUAGUUCUAGUGGUUGUUUAUGCAUUCUGGAAACCGGUUCUUUAUUAAUCAUAGGUGUGGCAUUAUGGUUCACAUUGUUACUCUCUUGCUAUACUGUGAUGAACAGAAGUUUUUCAUUUUCAUGAAGUAGACUUAUCAACAUUUUCUUAUGUUUUAGAUGUUUAUUUAGAAACCCUUCUCUACAAACAUUCUAAUAUUUUCUUUUAAAAGUUUUGAAGUUUUGACUUUUACAUUUAAAUUAUUAAUCAAAUUAGAAUUAUCUUCCAUAUACAUGUGAGUCCUCAAUUCUUGCUCCAUUAAACAAUUUAUCCUUCCUCGCAUCAGUAUCUUCCCACCUUAAUUGCUAUUGGAUUAUAAUAACUCUUGAUAUUUGGUGUGCCAAAUUCCCCCAACAUAUUAAUCCUUUCGGAUAUUCUAUUCUCAGCCCUUUAUUUUUCCAUAUGAAACUCAGAAUCAUGAAGUUUAUUUAAAAUUCUGCUAGGAUUUUGAUAAAAAUUUCCAUAAAAAACUUUUCAGUUUGACAUUGUUAGGACUGAGUUUUCUUAUCCAUGAAUGUGAAAUAUCUGUGUUAUUUUAUCUGCAAAAUAAAGAUAAAGAAAUAUCUUUAUUAUUGUUUAAUGUUUUUAUGAAAAGUUCAUGAUUUUUUAUCUAGAGGUAUCACACAUCUUUUUUUAGAUAUAUUCUAGGAUACUUUUUAGUUUUGUUGCUUUUGUAAGUGUUGUCAUGUUGGGAGUCUCUGAGAACCUCCUCAAGCUUGAUGACCCACUAGAAGGACUCUCAGGACUUAGAAGUGGUUAUAUUGAUGGUCACAGUUUAUUAUAACAAAAAGACACAGAUAACAAUAAACAAAGAGAAAAGGCACAUGGGGUGAAGUUCAGGAGAAAUAAGGCACAAGCCUUCAGGUAUUCCCCUCCCAGGAGUAAAUAUGCUAACUGAAGCACACAAAAAAAGAAAAGAUAAAUGCAAAAAAGAGCAUAAAAUAUAUAUGACAUAGUUUUAAAAAUGUGUAACAUGCAUGUAAUUGAAGUAUCAGAAAGAAUGGAGACAAGGAAUAGGGGAAGAAGGAAUAUUUGAAGAGAUAAUAACCAAAAACUUUCUAAAACUAACCCACAAAAUCAAGAAAUUCUGAAGAAACUAGAAAAGAUACAUGCAAAAUAAAUCCCAUUUUGGCUCAUAGUGAACUCCUGAAAGCCAAGGACAAGGACCAAUUACUUAAAGCACCCAAAAAAAAACAACAUUGCUUUCAUAAUAGCAAUAAAAGACUAAUAACUGAAUUUUCUACACAAAUGAUGGAAGCUGGAAGAUAUAAAGAUCAUAAGGAUAUAUUCUAUUCCUGGAAUUGAUGUGCCUUGGUCAUAAUGUCUUUUUUAAAAUACAAAGUUGUAAUCAGGUUUCUAAAUAGUUUAAGAUUUUUGCAUCUAAUUGUUUGGAAAGUUCCCCCUUUUUUAUACUCAUAUCUGCAUUAGCUAUCAAGGCUAAAAAUGACUGCUUUAAAAGAGUUAAGGAAAGUUUCCUCUUUGUUAUACCUAUGAAAAAGUUUAUAUACAAUUAAAAUUUGAUGAUAACAUUUGUUAUAUUUUCUUAUAGAACUAUUUGUAUUUGGUGUUCUAUUUAUGAGGAGGCUUUUAAAAUAUUGAUUUGACUUCUUUAGUAGUUGUAGGGCACUGAAGUUUUCUGGUACUCUAACUGCAGCCCACGUAACUUAUCUUAUAUUCUCAUUAUCAUUUAGUUCUAAGUAUUUUUUUACUUUCUAUUAUAAAGUAUUCUUUGACCUAGGAGGUAUUUAGAAGUUUGCUUUUAAACUGUCAAAUGUAUGAAAUUGUCUUAAUUUUCCUUUUAUUACUAAUAGCUACAUUAUUUUCCUUCUUGUGAGAGAAGGUAGUCUGUGGUACUUUUGGAAAUAUUUAAAGACUUUUUGGCCUAGUAUGUGAUAAAUUUGUGAAAAUGUUCCUUGCAUGUCAAAAAGAAUUAUCCAGAAUUAUCCAAUAAUUGGAUAAAUGUUCUUAAUAUGUUUAUUAGGACAUUCAUGUUCAUUGUGUUUACAAUUUCUAUAACAUUGCUAGUUUUGAUCUGCUUUUCAUGUCAAUACCUGAGAUAGGUCUGUUUAAAUUUCUUACUAUAAUGGUAGAUUUGUUACAAUUUCAUUGUAGCCUGUACAUUUUUGCUUUAUAUAUGCUGAAUAAAUGUUAAUAUGUGCCCAUAUAAGCUUAAACAUUAUAAUUACUUUAUCUUCCUGGAAAAUUGUAAUUUUCAUCAAUAUGUGCUCACCCCCUUUUUAUCUGGUAACUAUUUUGACCUU